GAUGAACGCUAGCGGCAGGCCUAACACAUGCAAGUCGAGGGGUAGAGGAAGCUUGCUUCCUUGAGACCGGCGCACGGGUGCGUAACGCGUAUGCAAUCUACCUUAUACAGAGGGAUAGCCCAGAGAAAUUUGGAUUAAUACCUCAUAGUAUUAUGAAAUCGCAUGGUUUUAUAAUUAAAGUUCCAACGGUAUAAGAUGAGCAUGCGUCCCAUUAGUUAGUUGGUAAGGUAACGGCUUACCAAGACAAUGAUGGGUAGGGGUCCUGAGAGGGAGAUCCCCCACACUGGUACUGAGACACGGACCAGACUCCUACGGGAGGCAGCAGUGAGGAAUAUUGGUCAAUGGACGCAAGUCUGGACCAGCCAUGCCGCGUGCAGGAUGACGGUCCUAUGGAUUGUAAACUGCUUUUAUACAGGAAGAAACACUCCCUCGUGAGGGAACUUGACGGUACUGUAGGAAUAAGGAUCGGCUAACUCCGUGCCAGCAGCCGCAGUAACAC
rnacentral:rRNA from 1 species